rnacentral:lncRNA from 1 species
CCAGGAUAAGCAUUCGGGUUUCUCAGACGAUGGGCGAGGUCAGAAAAUUCCCAAGAGUUUAUGUCUUCUGUGUUCAGAAAAACUCAACUAAGUAUUAUCAGGGCUUAGGACAACCCUAUGACAAUGGUCGACUUGCUCACCAGCAGUCACAAGGCAUCUAAAUAAGCCUUCCUCUUUGGGAGAAGACAAGUAUUCAUCAAGGAUCCUUAUCAACACUGAGGGGUGCAGAGACUUCACAUCAUUAUCAUAACAAUACAACCUGAAAAGUGUGAUGGAUCUAGCGGAGUGACUGUGGGCACAUUGAUUCCUGGAUAUGGAAACAGUUUAACUUUAAUCUUGAGUAAAUGAAUGAGGAGAAAUGGAGAAAAGACUUUUGGUUUUCCAGUAAGAUUUUGGUGACUUAUUUUUAAGGAAUGAUUUUUAUAUAAAAUUGGGGCUAAAGUUGGACCUGAGAAAAGUAAGGUAACAGAAUGGCUAACUUGUUUAACUUUGGAAAAACUGAAAUGACUAAUUAGAAUGUUUCCAAUCUAUGUGAUAUAUAUUUGAAAGAGCUACAUGCCAUUGGAUGUUUUUGUAGCUGCUAACAAAAAAGGGUUCCCUCACAGAUGAAUGAACGGACUUCUUCAUGGAGACUGUUUAGACACUACUUUAGAAAAGGCAUUUUUUUUGGUGUUGCUACUAGGAAAUUGUGUGUGUGUGUGUGUGUGUGUGUGUGUGUGUGUGUGUGUGUGUUUUCAGUGUCUCUAGCAGCUGAAAGUAUGCAAGAGCUAAAAUGCAGCUACAGCUGGAGCUAACUCCCAUUCAUUCAUCAUUGUCACUUCACGAAUUAGGAGCCAGCAGACCAUUUCUCUCACUUUACUUCAGCUCCUUUUCAGAACGAGAACAUCUCUAACUCAUGUCUGAGCUGCAGAGGUUUGAUGAAGAACCACAUUGUUCUUGUCAUCUACAAAAGAGAAAGCAAUUUAGAUACUCUUCAAUUUUUUUAUGGUUAAGUAUUUGUGCUGAGUUUUGUGUUUGCUGAGAGGAUGAUGCCAUGAGAACACAGAGUACAUGCAGCAGUAAACUGGUUGAAAAAGAUCUCACUUCCAUCUUGGGAAAAUAAAUUGCACCAGUA